AUUUGCCCUAAUGCUAACCUAGUAAAGGCAGUGACUUAAUCCAGGACGAAGUUCUGUGGAAAGUUUGAAAGUUAGGGUAAAACCUAAGUAUGAGGAUUAUUAGAGUUAGGAGGGAAGAAGUGACCAAGGGGAGAACCUGAGUGGGAGGGACCCAAAGGCCCUCCAUGGUAGGGCCGUUGUUUUAGGAUUACUACUGCUAUGAUGAAACCCCAUGAUGAAAGGCAAGUUGGAGAGGAAAGAGUUUCAUAGUACACUGAGGGAAGCCAAGGUAAGGACUCCGUGGGGAACUUGGAGGAAGGAACUGAUGAUGCAGAACCUAUGAAGGAUUGUUCUUUACUGACUUGCUCCUCAUAUCUUGCUCAGCCUGCUUUCUUAGAGAAGCUAGGACCACUAGCCCAGGUGGGAUACCACCUACAAUAGGCUGGACCCUCCGCGUGAAUCAUUAAGAAAAUGGCUAAUGGGCUGAUCUUACGGAGGCAUUUUUUUUUCUUCAAUUGAGGUUCCCUCCUCUCAGAUGACUCUAGCUUGUAUCAAGUUGAUAGAAAACUAGUCAGCACACUCAUCAUUGAAUCUUUUCUGGUCCCUAUGCCUUUGAGCCCUAUCCUCUAAGGAGUUUUGGUUUGUUACUGCGGAAGCAACAUUGUUCCUGGAGAAGGAUGCAGAUACCAUCUUCAGCAGUGGGCAGGAUUCCUAGUCUGCUAGCAUUUUGAAAUACUGAAGCAGCCAAAGAAGCGAGCUAGUCCUGAAGGAUGUGAAGAUGAUCUGAAAUUGCUUUAAGGUUUCCUGAGAGCUGGUGAGACAGCUUAACUGAUGCACGGAAGCCUCCAGUCUACUGUUUUAGUUCAGAGUCCUGAAAAAAGGGCCCAGAGUGGCAAGAAGAGGGAUGAGUUGAAUGGCUCAUUAGUCCCUCUUUCAGAGGUCACCCGAACUGCUUUUAGGAGGUUGGGUGCACAGAACUCUUAACUGCUUAGAGCUGACAAAGGGGUGAUGUAGGAAGGGCAGCUUAAUCAAGUGCCUCAGAGGAGGGUCCAUCUAAGGGGCCACCGUAAACUUAACAGAUGGCAAAGAUACAGAACAUAAGACAGCCAUUUGAUGACAACGUUUUAUCUCAGUUAGAGGAAACUGGGCCUAGAGAUUUCAGCAGAAAUAGUAGGCAUCGGGACCCCGCUUCUCACUGACAGCAGCCUGCCUAGCACUUGGCUGAUUAUCCUUUGAGUCUCUGUUGGGACCUGUAAAUCUCAAAGUGUUAGCUCCUUUGGUUAGCAUGCCAGUGUGGGAGGCAUGUGGCUGGGAACAUCUUUAUGUCCUCUUUGAAGCCAGUAAAUGUAUCAUGCAAAGACUGUAUCAAAGUGAAAACAAAACAUUAAAAUCAC
rnacentral:lncRNA from 1 species